rnacentral:rRNA from 1 species
AAAUUGAAGAGUUUGAUCAUGGCUCAGAUUGAACGCUGGCGGCAGGCCUAACACAUGCAAGUCGAACGGUAACAGAAAGCAGCUUGCUGCUUUGCUGAUGAGUGGCGGACGGGUGAGUAAUGUCUGGGAAACUGCCUGAUGGAGGGGGAUAACUACUGGAAACGGUAGCUAAUACCGCAUAAUGUCGCAAGACCAAAGAGGGGGACCUUCGGGCCUCUUGCCAUCGGAUGUGCCCAGAUGGGAUUAGCUAGUAGGUGGGGUAA